GCAAGUCGAACGGCAGCAUGACACUUCGGUGUUGAUGGCGAGUGGCGCACGGGUGAGUAACGCGUACACAAUCUACCUAUAAGAGGGGGAUAGCCACUGGAAACGGUGAAUAAUACCCCAUAGUAUUACUUUUAUGAUAUAUGAGUAAUUAAAGUUCCGGCGCUUAUAGAUGAGUGUGCGUCCGAUUAGCUAGUUGGUAAGGUAACGGCUUACCAAGGCGACGAUUGGUAGGGGGCGUGAGAGCGUGACC
rnacentral:rRNA from 1 species